rnacentral:rRNA from 1 species
UAACUUGAGAGUUUGAUCCUGGCUCAGAGUGAACGCUGGCGGCAGGCUUAACACAUGCAAGUCGAGCGAGAAAGUGGCUUCGGCCAUUAGUAAAGCGGCAAACGGGUGAGUAACGCGUGGGAAUUUCCCUUCUAGUCUUGGAUAGCCCCGGGAAACUGGGAUUAAUACAGGAUAUUAUCUACGGAUGAAAGAUUUAUCGCUAGAAGAUAAGCCCGCGUGAGAUUAGCUAGUUGGUGAGGUAAUGGCUCACCAAGGCAACGAUCUCUAGUUGGUCUGAGAGGAUGAUCAACCACACUGGAACUGAGACACGGUCCAGACUCCUACGGGAGGCAGCAGUGAGGAAUAUUGGACAAUGGGGGAAACCCUGAUCCAGCCAUGCCGCGUGA